rnacentral:rRNA from 1 species
AUUGAACGCUGGCGGCAGGCCUAACACAUGCAAGUCGAGCGAGCGGCGGACGGGUGAGUACUGUCUGGGAAACUGCCUGAUGGAGGGGGAUAACUACUGGAAACGGUAGCUAAUACCGCAUAACAUCAGCUGUGCCCAGAUGGGAUUAUCUAGUAGGUGGGGGCACGGCGCACCUAGGCGACGAUCCCUAGCUGGUCUGAGAGGAUGACAAGCCACACUGGAACUGCGACACGGUCCAGACUCCUACGGGAGGCAGCAGUGGGGAAUAUUGCACAAUGGGCGCAAGCCUGAUGCAGCCAUGUCGCGUGUGUGAAGAAGGCCUUCGGGUUGUAAAGCACUUUCAGCGGGGAGGCGUUACCCGCAGAAGAAGCACCGGCUAACUCCGUGCCAGCAGCCGCGGUAAUUC